UGCAAUAGAGGCGGCGAGGAGACGCGUCGCACUGUGUUGUUAUGUGUGUUGUCAUAAUUAUUUCAUUGAAAAAUUAAUUUCGCCGUUUCCGAAACAAUACUCACCGAUUUCUGUCUGUGAAACAUAACGUCUGAACAACUCCUCUUAAGUUUUGCCGAAAGGACCUAAGUAAUUUAGAGAAGCUAAAAACACACACUUUCGAGCAAUCCUGAUUUCGAAAUUACGACGAUUACGAAGACGACGAUUAGAAGAAGAAGAAAAAGGAGAAAAUCAAGAAAAAUACGCGAAAAAAAGCACCAAAAAAAGAGAAGAAACAAAAUUGAAACAAAAGCAUUGCCUUAAAGAAGAAGAGUACACCUACACUGUCGAAGGAACAAACGAGAGACACAGGGGGGAAAGAAACAAACAGAAAAAGAUAACACUUUAGACGCCUACAAAGUAAAUUGUAAAGAUAUGACUAAAGUAUAUUUUUAACAAGUUUUGAGAAACUUUAGAUUUUAAACGUAAAUUUAAAAGCGAAAAAUGAAAAAAAACGAUAAAAUUCUUAAUAACUAAAAAUGUGAUCUAAAAGUCGUUGCUACCAAGAGAAGCCUUAUGUCCUUGUUUCAGUUAGUUCGGUUCCAAACCUUCGAGCGGGAGACGCGUUGCAGCGAGAGAUUCCCGCGCAGGAGAGGAAGACUGGACAAAGCGGAAGAAGCAGAAUAAGACGAGCAAAGCA
rnacentral:misc_RNA from 1 species